CAAAUUGUUCAUAGUAAUAAAGUAUAAGGUCUUUUAGGCUAACUGACAGUGCCAUGGACACCAUGUUAACCUCUGUGACCUGCAGAUGAGUUCCAGAUGAGUUCCUGGAAAAUCUAAAGUAAGUGGAAGACCAUGAAAAGAUGAAGAAAUGAUCAACCCCUGUGGCCUUACUUAACUUUGAGACAUUCUCUAUUGUUCCUUAUUCCCACCCUAAUUGAUAGGACUAUUGGACUUUGUCACUGACCUUGGUCAACCUUC